rnacentral:rRNA from 1 species
AGAGUUUGAUCAUGGCUCAGGAUGAACGCUGGCGGCGUGCCUAACACAUGCAAGUCGAACGUUCGCAAGAACGUGGCGCACGGGUGAGGAACACGUAGCUGACCUGCCUUCGGGCGUGGGAUAACGUUCCGAAAGGAACGCUAAUACCGCAUAACGUGGGAGUAUUUAGAGGACUUCCACCAAAGAUUUAUCACCCGAAGAGGGGGCUGCGACCCAUCAGGUAGUUGGCGAGGUAACGGCUCACCAAGCCAGCGACGGGUCGGGGGUCUGAGAGGGUGAUCCCCCACACUGGGACUGAGACACGGCCCAGACUCCUACGGGAGGCAGCAGUGAGGAAUAUUGGUCAAUGGGGGCAACCCUGAACCAGCAACGCCGCGUGGGUGACGAAGGCCUUCGGGUCGUAAAGCCCUUUUGCAGGUGACGAGGAAGGACGGUAGCCUGCGAAGAAGUGUCGGCUAACUACGUGCCAGCAGCCGCGGUAAUUC